ACCCUCGGAGGCAUCUCCAGGGGGUGGAAAGAAUUUCGGUCAAGGAUGGACUCGCGGCCUAUCAGCUAGUUGGUGAGGUAAUGGCCCACCAAGGCGACGACGGGUAGCCGGCCUGAGAGGGUGACCGGCCACACUGGGACUGAGACACGGCCCAGACUCCUACGGGAGGCAGCAGUGGGGAAUAUUGCACAAUGGGCGCAAGCCUGAUGCAGCAACGCCGCGUGAGGGACGAAGGCCUUCGGGUUGUAAACCUCUUUUAGUAGGGAAGAAGCGAUGUGUUUUACACGGAGUGACGGUACCUGCAGAAAAAGCACCGGCUAACUACGUGCCAGCAGCCGCGGUAAUACGUAGGGUGCAAGCGUUAUCCGGAAUUAUUGGGCGUAAAGAGCUCGUAGGCGGUUUGUCGCGUCUGCUGUGAAAACUGGGGGCUCAACCCCCAGCCUGCAGUGGGUACGGGCAGACUAGAGUGCGGUAGGGGGAGAUUGGAAUUCCUGGUGUAGCGGUGGAAUGCGCAGAUAUCAGGAGGAACACCAAUGGCGAAGGCAGAUCUCUGGGCCGUAACUGACGCUGAGGAGCGAAAGCAUGGGGAGCGAACAGGAUUAAAUACCCUGGUAGUCCAUGCCGUAAACGUUGGGAACUAAAUGUAGGGUCCAUUCCACGGAUUCUGUGUCGCAGCUAACGCAUUAAGUUCCCCGCCUGGGGAGUACGGCCGCAAGGCUAAAACUCAAAGGAAUUGACCGGGGGCCCGCACAAGCGGCGGAGCAUGCGGAUUAAUUCGAUGCAACGCGAAGAACCUUACCAAGGCUUGACAUAUACCGGAAACGUCUGGAAACAGUCGCCCCGCAAGUCGGUAUACAGGUGGUGCAUGGUUGUCGUCACCUCGUGUCGUGAGAUGUUGGGUUAAGUCCCGCAACGAGCGCACCCUCGUUCUUGGUGCAGCACGUAAUGGUGGGACUCAAGGAAACUGCGGGUCACUCGAGAAAGGUGGGAUGAGUCAAUCUCAUCCCCUUAGUCUGGGCUCAGCAGCUACAUGGCCGUACAAGGCUGCAUACCUAGGUGAACGAUCCAA
rnacentral:rRNA from 1 species